rnacentral:rRNA from 1 species
AUUGAACGCUGGCGGAAUGCUUUACACAUGCAAGUCGAACGGCAGCACGGGGGCGAACCCUCGGUGGCGAGUGGCGAACGGGUGAGUAAUACAUCGGAACGUGCCCAGUCGUGGGGGAGUAACUACGCGAAAGCGUAGCUAAUACCGCAUACGAUCUACGGAUGAAAGCGGGGGAGUCGCAAGACCUCGCGCGAUUGGAGCGGCCGAUGGCAGAUUUAGGUAGUUGGUGGGGUAAAGGCCUCACCAAGCCUGCGAUCUGUAGCUGGUCUGAGAGGACGACCAGCCACACUGGGACUGAGACACGGCCCAGACUCCUACGGGUGGCAG